AGGUCUUCAAGGUUCGUGUAUUCGUGCUACCUGCUGCAUCGUCGCUACCAUAGGUGACAAACGGCGAUAUUCAACCCCAGACGUGAAGGUUUUCGAAAAUCGUGUGGUCCAAUGUAACAUAAUGGGAUUCCAGCAGUUAUCUUCCCUUGUGCAACUCAUUCUGUCUAUCAGCUUAUUAGCAACACUUGAAUACGCACAAAUCACCGAUCAACAACAGUACACCGUAACACCGAUUAACCAUUUCUCUGGUAUAUAUUUUGAACACAUAAAUAAUGUGAAAUUUCAAGAGACACAUUGGCAAA